rnacentral:misc_RNA from 1 species
UCUCCGUAGGUGAACCUGCGGAGGGAUCAUUAAGAAUUGAACAGCAGUGUCUGGCACUGUUGCCCAUUCUAACCCUUUGUGAACUACAACUCUGUUGCUUCGGGGGCGACCCCGCCGUUUCGGCGGUGGCGCUCCCGGUGGCCAAUUAUUAAACUCUUGCGUAACUUUGCAGUCUGAGUAAACUUAAUUAAUAAAUUAAAACUUUUAACAACGGAUCUCUUGGUUCUGGCAUCGAUGAAGAACGCAGC